CUCAAUAAAAAUUUCAAAGCAAGAAAUUAAGUGGUAUAUAUGGUAAUCCUACCAUGACUGAGCUCCAAAAAUCUGGACAACUACUAUACACGGCAAUGAGUUAAACAAAGCCAUAGAAGUAUUUCUCAGAGUUAAAAAAUUAUAUUUAGAAAAUAACAACAAAAAAUUAUUUUGACACAAAACCUGCACAUGGAUCUAGCCAGUUGCUAUAGGAGUGACAUCAAGGGACAUGUCUAAUUGUGGAUGAUGUAUCAAUGCAGAAUUAUGUAAUCAUCAGCCUAAAGCAGCAAUAUGUUAAACUUAACUGCUUUUCUUCAUGUCAAGGAGAGUUAGAGUCUAUAACAAGUCUCCAUUUCACCAGAUGCAGGAGCCAGAACAAAAGGACUUAAUGAAAUGAUCUGUUUAUAAAACGGUAAGUGCAGGUCUGCAUUAAAUCCUUUUUAA